GAUGAACGCUGGCGGCGUGCCUAAUACAUGCAAGUCGAGCGAACAGACGAGGAGCUUGCUCCUCUGACGUUAGCGGCGGACGGGUGAGUAACACGUGGAUAACCUACCUAUAAGACUGGGAUAACUUCGGGAAACCGGAGCUAAUACCGGAUAAUAUAUUGAACCGCAUGGUUCAAUAGUGAAAGACGGUUUUGCUGUCUCUUAUAGAUGGAUCCGCGCCGCAUUAGCUAGUUGGUAAGGUAACGGCUUACCAAGGCAACGAUGCGUAGCCGACCUGAGAGGGUGAUCGCCCACACUGGAACUGAGACACGGUCCAUACUCCUACGGGAGGCAGCAGUAGGGAAUCUUCCGCAAUGGGCGAAAGCCUGACGGAGCAACGCCGCGUGAGUGAUGAAGGUCUUCGGAUCGUAAAACUCUGUUAUUAGGGAAGAACAAAUGUGUAAGUAACUAUGCACGUCUUGACGGUACCUAAUCAGAAAGCCACGGCUAACUACGUG
rnacentral:rRNA from 1 species